CGCAUAAUUAUAUUAAUAAUUGGGUGUUAUUGAAUGAUUUAUCAGUCACGUAUAAAAGUAUCACAAUAAGAGAUUAGACAAAACUGAAGAAUAAGAAUAACCAACUAUUAUAAAAAAUAAAAACAAGAUAAAUAGGAAAUUGAAUAUAAUAAUACAGCAUAUAUUACAAUCAAAAAAUAGAAACGAAGGAAAUAAUAAUACACAAUUGGAAAAUGUUGAAUUUUGCCAAUUACAAACAAAAGAAGAAUUUGAUGCAUUAGAAAAAUCACUUGCGGAGGAUGCAAAGAAAGGAGAACAAUUAAAAACUUUUAUAAGGCAAGAAGGUGGAAAAGACGCUGGAGACCAUAUAAGGCGAGCGAUGAAGAGAAUAAUGGCAGAUCUCUUAGCUGUGCAAUAUUCUUGGAGCAGACAAAAGAAUACUAUCCGGUUUAAAGAUUCAUUUACUUCAAAACUUAUUCUGAAUUCUGUAACGUCGCUGCACACAUCAUCAUGUAUGAAAAAAAUGGAAGAUGCUAUACAAUCAUGGUUAAAUCACGCAUCGGAUCGUAUAAAAAAAGGAAGGGAAGGAAGAAGAGAGACUCAUGCAUGAUUUAAUAUAAGAAAUAUUGCAACAAAAACUGG